rnacentral:rRNA from 1 species
UGCGUAGGCGGCGGCUUAAGUAGGAUGUGAAAUCUCCCGGCUCAACCGGGGAACUGCGUUCUAAACUGGGUUGCUUGAGUGAGAUAGAGGUGUGCGGAACUUCCGGUGGAGCGGUGAAAUGUGUUGAUAUCGGAGGGAACACCGUUGGCGAAAGCGGCACACUGGGUCUUAACUGACGCUGAGGCACGAAAGCCAGGGGAGCAAACG